GAUCCGUAGAUAUCCGAAUGGGGAAACCCACCUUAGAUACUUGGGAAAUCAAGUGCGCUGCGCGCAAGCGAAGCGUUCUUGGUUUCCAAGUAUCGUUAUAAGGUAUCUUAUUCUGAAUACAUAGGGAUAAGAAGCGAACGCGGGGAACUGAAACAUCUAAGUACCCGUAGGAAAGGACAUCAACCGAGACUCCGCUAGUAGUGGCGAGCGAACGCGGACCAGGCCAGUGGCUAUCGUUUAACAAGCAGAACCUUCUGGAAAGUUGGACCGGAGCGGGUGACAGUCCCGUAUGCGUAAUGUGAACGAUAGUCCUCGAGUAGGGCGGGACACGUGAAAUCCUGUCUGAACAUGGGGGGACCACCCUCCAAGCCUAAGUACUCGUGCAUGACCGAUAGCGAACUAGUACCGUGAGGGAAAGGUGAAAAGCACCCCGACGAGGGGAGUGAAAGAGUACCUGAAACCGGUUGCCUACAAACAGUGGGAGCACGCAAGUGUGACCACGUACCUUUUGUAUAAUGGGUCAGCGACUUAAUGUAACGUGCAAGCUUAAGCCGGUAGGUGUAGGCGUAGCGAAAGCGAGUCUUAACAGGGCGUUCAGUACGUUGCAUUAGACCCGAAACCGAGUGAUCUAGCCAUGAGCAGGUUGAAGGUUGGGUAACACCAACUGGAGGACCGAACCCAUAUCUGUUGCAAUAGAUCGGGAUGACUUGUGGCUAGGGGUGAAAGGCCAAUCAAACUCGGAAAUAGCUGGUUCUCCGCGAAAUCUAUUUAGGUAGAGCGUCGACCGAAUACCCUCGGGGGUAGAGCACUGGAUGGGCUAGGGGUCCUCACCGGAUUACCAAACCUAACCAAACUCCGAAUACCGAGGAGUACUAGUCGGCAGACACACGGCGGGUGCUAACGUCCGUCGUGGAGAGGGAAACAACCCUGACCAACAGCUAAGGUCCCCAAGUUAUGGCUAAGUGGGAAAGGAUGUGAGACUCCCAAAACAACCAGGAUGUUGGCUUAGAAGCAGCCAUCAUUUAAAGAAAGCGUAACAGCUCACUGGUCUAAUUAAGGGGUUUUGCGCCGAAAAUGUACCGGGGCUAAAGCCAUACACCGAAGCUUUGGGUUCACCGCAAGGUGAGCGGUAGCGGAGCGUUCCGUAGGCUGAUGAAGGGAGACCCGUGAGGGCUCCUGGAGGUAUCGGAAGUGCGAAUGCUGACAUGAGUAACGAUAAAGGGGGUGAGAGACCCCCUCGCCGAAAGUCCAAGGGUUCCUGCUUAAAGUUAAUCUGAGCAGGGUUAGCCGGCCCCUAAGGCGAGGCCGAAAGGCGUAGUCGAUGGGAACCACGUUAAUAUUCGUGGGCCUGGAGGUAGUGACGGAUUGCGGACGUUGUCUUUCCUUAUUGGAUUGGAGAGGCAGCCAUGUGGUCCCAGGAAAUAGCUCCUCCAUAUAGACCGUACCCGAAACCGACACAGGUGGACUGGUAGAGUAUACCAAGGCGCUUGAGAGAACUCUGCUGAAGGAACUCGGCAAAAUGCACGCGUAACUUCGGGAUAAGCGUGACCCUUGUUCGGGCAACCGGAUGGGGGUGGCACAGACCAGGGGGUAGCGACUGUUUAUCAAAAACACAGGGCUCUGCGAAGUCGCAAGACGACGUAUAGGGUCUGACGCCUGCCCGGUGCCGGAAGGUUAAGAGGAGGAGUGCAAGCUCUGAAUUGAAGCCCCGGUAAACGGCGGCCGUAACUAUAACGGUCCUAAGGUAGCGAAAUUCCUUGUCGGGUAAGUUCCGACCUGCACGAAUGGCGUAACGACUUCCCCGCUGUCUCCAGCAGAGACUCAGUGAAAUUGAAUUCCCCGUGAAGAUG
rfam:Nitratireductor aquibiodomus RA22 Contig88, whole genome shotgun sequence.